UAAUGCUUAGGAAUCUGCCUAUUAGUGGGGGACAACAUUCCGAAAGGGAUGCUAAUACCGCAUACGUCCUACGGGAGAAAGCAGGGGAUCUUCGGACCUUGCGCUAAUAGAUGAGCCUAAGUCGGAUUAGCUAGUUGGUGGGGUAAAGGCCUACCAAGGCGACGAUCUGUAGCGGGUCUGAGAGGAUGAUCCGCCACACUGGGACUGAGACACGGCCCAGACUCCUACGGGAGGCAGCAGUGGGGAAUAUUGGACAAUGGGGGGAACCCUGAUCCAGCCAUGCCGCGUGUGUGAAGAAGGCCUUAUGGUUGUAAAGCACUUUAAGCGAGGAGGAGGCUACUGAGACUAAUACUCUUGGAUAGUGGACGUUACUCGCAGAAUAAGCACCGGCUAACUCUGUGCCAGCAGCCGCGGUAAUACAGAGGGUGCGAGCGUUAAUCGGAUUUACUGGGCGUAAAGCGUGCGUAGGCGGCUUUUUAAGUCGGAUGUGAAAUCCCCGAGCUUAACUUGGGAAUUGCAUUCGAUACUGGGAAGCUAGAGUAUGGGAGAGGAUGGUAGAAUUCCAGGUGUAGCGGUGAAAUGCGUAGAGAUCUGGAGGAAUACCGAUGGCGAAGGCAGCCAUCUGGCCUAAUACUGACCGCUAGUACGAAGCAG
rnacentral:rRNA from 1 species